rnacentral:lncRNA from 1 species
GGGAAGGGAGGGAGGCCGGUGGAGGGUGGCGGAGGCCCGGUGGAGGCCUUUCGCGAUUUAUGCGACCGUUUUUCUAUUUCGUUCGAAAUAAGGGUCGGCCGCUUUUUAAUUUGGCGAUUCGUAAGUGACGUUUCAAUACAAUCUUAACAUUUUAUUUCCAUUUUUUCCAACUAAUCUGCAAAUAAUACUUCAAAGUAUAGGGAUAAGCAUAAAUUCU